GUCGGAAUACGAAAAUUUUUGAUACUUUAAUCACACAUUUUCAAAAUGGCGCAUCGUGGUUUACUUGUACUGUACACACGCGAAUAACAUUAAAUAAAAUCUAUCUUGGGAAGAUUUCACUAGGUUUCAACUUGACUAUUAUGGUUUUACCAUUGAAGGGUUCAUCUUUUAUUGAUAUUCAGGAUUCAGGUACACUGUUUAGAUGCAAUGACACAAAUUUGACCAAAUCCGAAACAAAGCGGACAUUCGAUCAAAGGCUGAAUUUUAUGCAAAUUACUAAGUCAACACUGUUAGAUUGUUUAUUUUAUUAAAAAAAAUAACAAAGAGUAGUCAAGAAUACAGUUAGAUUGUUUAUUUUAUUUCUAAAUAAUACAAAGAGUUGUCAAGAAUACAUUAUAACAUUGACAACACAUGAUGUUUCUGUUUACUUGGCCAAACCUCGUUCAACAUCGUAUCCCUACAUGGAAAAAAAUGUCACGAAAUCCUAUAGUACUGCAUAGUCCGCACCCC
rnacentral:lncRNA from 1 species